AUGCCCACCCCGCCUCAUAUUGUGCCGGAAUGGUAUUUCCUACCGAUCCAUGCCAUUCCUCGCAGGAAACCUAACAAAGCGGGAGGUGUAGCCGCAAUAGCACCAGUUUUUAUAUCUCUCUUGGCUUUACCUUUUCUAAAGAAAUGUAUGUGUGUAGUUGAAGUUUUCAACCGAUUCACAAAGGAAUAUUUUGGUUGCUUUUGGCGGAUUGCUUACUACUAG
rnacentral:rRNA from 1 species